rnacentral:rRNA from 1 species
GGCCGCCAUGGCGGCCGCGGGAAUUCGAUUAGAGUUUGAUCAUGGCUCAGAUUGAACGCUGGCGGCAUGCCUUACACAUGCAAGUCGAACGGCAGCACGGAGCUUGCUCUGGUGGCGAGUGGCGAACGGGUGAGUAAUAUAUCGGAACGUACCCUGGAGUGGGGGAUAACGUAGCGAAAGUUACGCUAAUACCGCAUACGAUCUAAGGAUGAAAGUGGGGGAUCGCAAGACCUCAUGCUCGUGGAGCGGCCGAUAUCUGAUUAGCUAGUUGGUAGGGUAAAAGCCUACCAAGGCAUCGAUCAGUAGCUGGUCUGAGAGGACGACCAGCCACACUGGAACUGAGACACGGUCCAGACUCCUACGGGAGGCAGCAGUGGGGAAUUUUGGACAAUGGGCGAAAGCCUGAUCCAGCAAUGCCGCGUGAGUGAAGAAGGCCUUCGGGUUGUAAAGCUCUUUUGUCAGGGAAGAAACGGUGAGAGCUAAUAUCUCUUGCUAAUGACGGUACCUGAAGAAUAAGCACCGGCUAACUACGUGCCAGCAGCCGCGGUAAUACGUAGGGUGCAAGCGUUAAUCGGAAUUACUGGGCGUAAAGCGUGCGCAGGCGGUUUUGUAAGUCUGAUGUGAAAUCCCCGGGCUCAACCUGGGAAUUGCAUUGGAGACUGCAAGGCUAKAAUCUGGCWGAGGGGGGUAGAWU